UCGUUUUUAUUGAGUAACAUGUUACUUUAACUUUCAUGAACAUGAAAACACGAUGUCAGACAUUUGAAGUAUCUGAUGAUGUGACCACACGUUCAUCUCCAUGAAACUUUAAGUGAUAUAGAGAGUGAAGUCAACUUACUAAUCUCCCUUUCUCGCUCUCUCUCUCUCUCUCUCUCUCUCUGUUUCUGUAUAUCAUCACCAUGUAUGUAUGUAUACAUGUAUGUAUGUAUGAACAUCAGUGGUAUCUCACAUGUAAUUGCACUGAGUUAAGAGAAGGUAUAUGUAGGGGGAUGGGAAAUGGACUGCCUUAUAUAGUGGGAAGUUGGGGAUUAAUUGCAAGUACUGUUAUUUGAUCUUAUACCUUUUUAUAACCUCAUGUGUGAAUACUCCACAACAUAUCUGUGAGUGUGUGUGUGUAUGUGUGUGUGUGUGUAUAUGUAUGUAUAUAUAUU